AGAGCGAACGCUGGCGGCAGGCCUAACACAUGCAAGUCGAGCGCCCCGCAAGGGGAGCGGCAGACGGGAGAGUAACACGUGGGAACGUACCCUUUGGUUCGGAACAACACAGGGAAACUUGUGCUAAUACCGGAUAAGCCCUUACGGGGAAAGAUUUAUCGCCAAAGGAUCGGCCCGCGUCUGAUUAGCUUGUUGGUGAGGUAACGGCUCACCAAGGCUACGAUCAGUAGCUGGUCUGAGAGGAUGAUCAGCCUCACUGGGACUGAGACACGGCCCAGACUCCUACGGGAGGCAGCAGUGGGGAAUAUUGGACAAUGGGCGCAAGCCUGAUCCAGCCACGCCGCGUGGGGGAAGAAGGCUUUCGGGUUGUAAACCCCUUUCAGUUGGGACGAAGCUUCUCCGGUGAAUAGCCGGACGGAGUGACGGUACCUUCACAAGAAGCACCGGCUAACUACGUGCCAGCAGCCGC
rnacentral:rRNA from 1 species